UCUCCGUUGGUGAACCAGCGGAGGGAUCAUUACAGAGUUGCAAAACUCCCAACCCAUUGUUAACGUUACCUGUCCCGUUGCUUCGGCGGGCGGCCCGGGCCCCGCGCCCGGCGCCCCCCGGCCCCCCGUGGGCGCCCGCCGGAGGUAAACCAAACUCUUGAAUUGCAUGGCCUCGCUGAGUCUUCUGUACUGAAUAAGUCAAAACUUUCAACAACGGAUCUCUUGGUUCUG
rnacentral:misc_RNA from 1 species